rnacentral:rRNA from 1 species
CGGGACGGGGUGGAGUAAUGUCUGGGAAACUGCCUGAUGGAGGGGGGUAACUACUGGAAACGGUAGCUAAUACCGCAUAACGUCGCAAGACCAAAGAGGGGGACCUUCGGGCCUCUUGCCAUCGGAUGUGCCCAGAUGGGAUUAGCUAGUAGGUGGGGUAACGACUCACCUAGGCGACGAUCCCUAGCUGGUCUGAGAGGAUGACCAGCCACACUGGAACUGAGACACGGUCCAG